rnacentral:rRNA from 1 species
AUUGAACGCUGGCGGCAUGCUUGAAAAAGGAAAGUAGAAAGGAAGCGCGGGCUUCGGCCUGGCGGCGAGUGGCGAACGGGUGAGUAAUGCAUCGGAACGUGCCCAGUAGUGGGGGAUAGCCCGGCGAAAGCCGGAUUAAUACCGCAUACGACCUGAGGGUGAAAGCGGGGGACCGAAAGGCCUCGCGCUAUUGGAGCGGCCGAUGUCGGAUUAGCUAGUUGGUGGGGUAAAGGCUUACCAAGGCGACGAUCCGUAGCUGGUCUGAGAGGACGACCAGCCACACUGGGACUGAGACACGGCCCAGACUCCUACGGGAGGCAGCAGUGGGGAAUUUUGGACAAUGGGGGCAACCCUGAUCCAGCCAUGCCGCGUGCGGGAAGAAGGCCUUCGGGUUGUAAACCGCUUUUGUUCGGGAAGAAAUCCUCUGGGCUAAUACCCCGGGGGGAUGACGGUACCGGAAGAAUAAGCACCGGCUAACUACGUG